rnacentral:rRNA from 1 species
UACGUAGGUGGCAAGCGUUGUCCGGAUUUAUUGGGUUUAAAGGGUGCGUAGGCGGCCUUAUAAGUCAGUGCUGAAAUAUCCCGGCUUAACCGGGAGGGCGGCAUUGAUACUGUAGGGCUUGAGUAAAGUUGAGGUUGGCGGAAUUGACGGUGUAGCGGUGAAAUGCUUAGAUAUCGUCAAGAACACCUAUUGCGAAGGCAGCUAACUAAGCUUUAACUGACGCUGAUGCACGAAAGUGUGGGGAUCAAACAGG